AUGAUCGUCGCCGCGCUGGUGGAGAUGAAGAGGCUCGGGAUAGCAGCAGAUCAUGGCAUCCUGGAUGAGCCUGAUGCCGUUGUUCCUAUGAGCUUGCUGUGGGUGGUUCCCCAGUUCCUCCUGGCAGGCUUGACCAGCGUGUUUGCGUAUGUUGGCCUGCUGGAGUUCUUCUACGACCAGGUGCCGGACUCCCUCCGGAGCCUGGGCGUAGCUCUGUGCAUCAGUAGCUUCCUUGUGUACGCCAUUGACAGGGUGACCAGCAGCAAUGGGGGGAGCUGGUUCUCCAACAACCUCAACAGGGGCCAUCUUGAUUACUUCUUCUGGUUUCUGGCUGCCCUCGGUGCCUUGGCCUUCUCUGCUUACCUGCACUUUGCAAAGGCUUAUGUCGAAAAGAAAAAAGAUUAUUCAGUUUUGGUACAAUGA
rnacentral:rRNA from 1 species